CGGCCGGUGCGUUAACAACAACUGCAAAGGUCGAAACGGGGCGACCCCGUCGAAGGAGUUUUACGGUACGAACUGAUGGGACGUGCUUAGUGGCGGACGGGUGAGUAACGACGUGAGUAACCUGCCUUGGAUGGGGAUAACAGCUGGAAACAGCUGCUAAUACCGCAUAAUGCAUUGGGUCGCAUGGCUCUGACUGCCAAAGAUUUAUCGCUCUGAGAUGGACUCGCGUCUGAUUAGCUAGUUGCGGGGUAACGGCCGACCAAGGCGACGAUCAGUAGCCGGACUGAGAGGUUGGCCGGCCACAUUGGGACUGAGACACGGCCCAGACUCCUACGGGAGGCAGCAGUGGGGGAAUAUUGGGCAAUGGGCGCAAGCCUGACCCAGCAACGCCGCGUGAAGGAAGAAGGCUUUCGGGUUGUAAACUUCUUUUCUCAGGGACGAAGAAAGUGACGGUACCUGAGGAAUAAGCCACGGCUAACUACGUG
rnacentral:rRNA from 1 species